rnacentral:piRNA from 1 species
UNGGAAUAUUCCAGGAAGCUUACUUUGCUC